rnacentral:rRNA from 1 species
UACGUAGGGCGCAAGCGUUAUCCGGAAUUAUUGGGCGUAAAGAGCUCGUAGGCGGUUUGUCGCGUCUGCCGUGAAAGUCCGGGGCUCAACCCCGGAUCUGCGGUGGGUACGGGCAGACUAGAGUGAUGUAGGGGAGACUGGAAUUCCUGGUGUAGCGGUGAAAUGCGCAGAUAUCAGGAGGAACACCAAUGGCGAAGGCAGAUCUCUGGGCCGUAACUGACGCUGAGGAGCGAAAGCAUGGGGAGCGAACAGG